rnacentral:lncRNA from 1 species
CCUCUGCCUUAUGAGGACACGCAUUUCUCUCCUCCAAAACAUGCAGCCCUUACCAGUCAACUGAACCUACUGGCAACUUGAUUUUGAACUCCCCAGCCUCUACAACUAGACUGGAUCUCACUACUUGCCUAGCUCUUGAACUCCUGGCCUCAAGCAAUCCUCCUGCCUCAACCUCCCAAAGUGCUGGGAUUACAGGAGUGAGCCACUAUGCCCCACAUGAUUUGAAAGUGAGAAGAAGCAGGCAAGUAUUCCUAUUUUCUCUAUUUAGAGAAAACAGUCAAGCAAAUAAACCACCAAACCUAGAUGGGGAAGAGACUGGCCCAGGUGCUCCAGUGGCCAGCAGAAGUAUGUUUAUCUGAUUUCUUCCUCUACAACCAACCAGAGAAAACUCUCUACUUUUAAAGAGCUCAACUGAUUCGGUCAGGCUGCGGCAGGAUAAUCUUUCUUUUGCCAAAAAUCAUAGCAUGAAGACUGUGUACAUCAAGGGCCAGGAAUCAUGAAAGACAUCUAAAAAUUCUGCCUACUACAGUGACCGGGGUCAUUUAAGGGAUCAUUAAAAGAUGAUAUAAUAAUAUUUACUCUCAAGUGAAAGUGGCUUGGAGCUCUAGAGUUAGUUUAUAUUUAUAGAAACUGUCAAUUCGAUAAGUAACUUUCAGUUUCUGGAAAAAGUGAGUAUUGGUAUGCAGCAGGUCAAGCUAUCAUGCUUGAUUGCCUCUGUGAACUUAGAUUGCUUGACCUGCCUUAAUCUUAAUUCCCACAUUUAUUAACUUGGAAUUUAAUAAUGCUUAUCUCGUAGAGUCAUUCCAAGCAUAAGUUAUAAGAUUUCCUUUAAAGAAUUUUGCAAACCAUAAGGAAUGAAACAAAUGUGAGUCAUUGCUAUUUUCAUCAUGUAUUAUUACUUUUCUUUGAAGCCCUAAACAGCUGUAAUAUUUGGGUUUGUUUUAUUUAACCUAUUUAUGGAAAAGCAUAGCUUUAAUUUUCAAUUUAAGAAUGUUAUGAUGUCUGAUUUCGUGUAGGCUUUUUCAUUUUCUUUUCUUCUUCUGAUUCUUUUUUUAAUGUAGGAGUUACAAAGGUGCUCCUGUGCUUCUGAUGGCAGAUUUAGCACACGAAUUUCUGGGAGCAGCAUUUGUACAUCAAAGGAUGUUCUUCUUAAAUAAUCUGCUAAUUAAAUUAAAGCUGCUUCAGAGCAUCUUUUGCAGUAUGGAACUUUUUGAUACUGUGUUAAUGUUUUAUAAUCAAGUCUCCAAACGGAUUUCUCCAAAACACAUGGUGAAUGGGUGAAAUAUGGAGUUAGAGUUUGUGUGUGUAUUAAUUUUUAUGACAGGAAAAUAAAUAAGGGAAAAAGACUAGGCAUAGGAAUAAACACCUCUUUUACUUACCAUAAAAAAGUAGCUUCUUUAUUGUUAAAAAUCACUGAACAUGAACAUGAAAAGCAAAAGAAAAACACAGUCGAAGAGCCUCUUUAACUACCAUUCUUGUGGUAGAGGUAGGACUGAUAUGCAUGAAUAGUUUUCCAAAGGAUCAGAGGAAAGAAGGAAGAAUAUGUCCAGAACACGGCAAACUAAAUAAUCAUCAGUAAAAUGGAGUUUCAUUGAAUUAGUAUUCCCUGAAGGCAAAAUAUAAUAGUAGGAAGUCCUGUCAGUCUAAUUCAAG